GCCCGCGCAGCCGUGCGAUUGUGUGAGUCAUGGUGGAAAAUUCGAGGCAAGCGUACCGAUACGCAAAGAACAAGCAUAAGCGAAGAAGAUAAAGAUAUCGAUUAAAAUUUCUGCUACAAAAAUAAAUAUAUAUGUAACGCAUAUUGUAAAUGUCCUAAGUUAAGUGAUAUAAAUCAAAUAUUUGUGUAAAGUUUAAUAUUUUAAUACGCGUCGAAGUACAACGAGUGAGGCUACAGAAAAGCACACACUAAAGUGAAGUACUUGGCGAGCGAAAAAUAACGGAAAUCGAAUUCGAAAUAAACGCUGCGCAAUAGACGGUGGUGUACAUAAGAGUUUAACAAAAUCCGAAUCAGAAUCAGUUGAAAGUGUGAUUUUUUUGAGCCUUUGUCUGUAAGUGAAGAGAAAGCUUUAAGCGGAAUUACAUCUAUAUAUAUAUAAAUAUAUAAAUACGAAGCCAGCCCGUCGCCAUUUUGAAAGUGAUUUUACAAUACACACACACACGUAUAUACACAGCUGCGAACACAUACACAUAUAACCUCAUAUAAAAUCCGAAGUAAAGAGCAUAAAAAAACGCAAAACAAACCAAUUACCGCAACAUUUUAAAGUGAAACAUCUAGAUCAAGGCAACUUUUAACCCAAACUCAACCCAUUUUGUAUAUAACGCUUGUCGAAAUAUCGGAAUCUGUAUAACGAAGUGGCUGAGAAAACUGCGACACACACACGCACGCACGCUCGUUGGUGUGAGAAGGUCUACGGCAAUAAAGAUCAGCACGGCUUGGAAUGCGAAAGCAGCAGCUAAAUCAGCUAAGAACAGAGAAGAGUUUGCGAAAUUAUAGCUAAGGAUAGCUUAACCGGAGUAAAAGAGAUAAAUCAACAGACUGAUAAACAAUACAUAACGUUACAAGUAAAACUAAAUAAAGUAAAGUAAACAGCAGCUGUACAUAAAACAUAAAGGCGAGACCCAGAACCAGGAGAAGUGGAAAAGCAGCUACGUGCUCGGCCGCCCGUCGCCCUUUUCGUUUCCAUUUUGGAGGUCAUCUCAACUUCGGCGACUAUCAGCAACCAAAGAAAACAGAGCGGCGCAGCUAGAUCAACAUCUCAAUAGCAAUAGUAGCAGAAGGCGUUUGGUUUCGAUUUAUAAAGAAUUGAUUUAAGUGCGUGUGAUAUUUACGAGGGUCGUUUGAUAAGUCCGUGACUUUUUGUAUUUGCCGCGCACCUGCUCUAAAUACAACACUGCUCCUGUCAGCAGUUAUCGAUUAACA